GAACGGAACAUUUGCAGAGCCGGUUUAUCAUUUCCAGCGCCCUGGGCCGUAAGAUUACAGCGCCGCUCAAAAAUGUGAAAAACGAAUUUUAUCAAUUUUUUUUAGAAACAAAAUGAAAUUAAAUUUAAAGAAAAGUUGUCUAAAUUAUGUUUGCUUGUGAAUUUUAAUUUUAAGCGACCA